UUUUUUUUCUCCAAUUGAUAUCUCUUUUAAUGGUUUCGAUUUUGUUUCUUUCGAUCUCUGUCAGCUAGAGGCACAAGAAGCUGGGGUAUUGCUGCGAUGAAGAUCAAAGGCUUCUUGUUGCAGAGUUCAUGCCAAAUGAUACUCUUGGUCAGCUUUUGUUCCAUCAGAUAAACCAAACCAUGGAAUGGUCAGUGACGUUGCGAGCGGCAUGUCAUGUAGCCGAAGCAUUAGAUUAUUGUAGCCAUCCAAGUUCUGUUUGAUAAGGAUGAUGAUGCAUGUAUUUCCUGUUUCUGUUUAGUGAGGGAGAUCAUCGAUUAUGAUCAAAUAACAACAGGAAGUGUGAACCCUGAGACUGUGACAUACAGAUCUGGUACUAUACUUGUGAAUCUGCUAGAUGGAAUGCACAUUGCUCCAAGCCAUGUAAGUGAUUCUGUUUAAGCCCUCUCCUCUCUUGAAUUUGUGAUUGUAAUCAUUAGAUUCUCUGUCAUUGUCAAUGUCUUGCAACACAAGCCAAAUACAAAAGCGAGUUUUUCUUCAGUUUUAGGGUUUGGUCGAUUCGUGAUUGUUAUUUUCCUAAAUUUCGAACCUCUCUUUUUCAAAAUCAAAAAUUCGAUUUGGUUUUUCAUCAAGCAAAUACGAAAGCCUUCUUUUCUUAGUUGUGUUAUUGCAUCUUAAGGUUUUCAAUUUCAAAACUUGCGUUUCGCUUUAAAGAUUUUACGUUGUUGUUUCAAAUUGGGUUUCUGAUUGUUUUGUUUCUGCAAAUCAAAAGCCCUCUUUUUGCUUUGUGUUUUUUUCUUUUUCGAGGGGUUUUUUUUAUUUUUCUUGAUUAUAGUUUUCUUAAAUUUGAAACCUUUUCUGCAAAUUCAGAGUUUCGAUUGAUUUUUUUAUAUAUUUUCGUAAAUCAGAAAUCCCUCUUUAGAAUUCCUGUUUUCUUCUGUUUCGAGGGAUUCUUACUUCAAAUUUUUGUUUGUCUAAAGUUUUAUGUUUUCUUCAAACCCAAAAGAAAGGGACUACACAUUAUAUGAUUGUGUAUGUCCGGUUUCUAACUUGGGGAGAUGUUGCCUAUGUUAAACAAGCAGGAUGUGAUUAAAAUCUGUAAGACUUGUAAAAUUAUAUUAGACAAGCAAGAUUUUAUUGAAAUCUGUAAGGCUUGUAAAAUUAUGUAAGACAAGCAUCAUUUUGAUUGAAAUCUGUAAGUCUUGUUAAAUUAUGUAAUGCAAGCAUCAUUUUGAUUGAAAUAUGUAAGACUUGUCUAAUUAUUUAAGACAAGCAUCAUUUUGAUUGAAAUCUGUAAGUCUUGUGUAAUUAUGUAAGACAAGCAAGAUUGGAUUGAAAUCUGUAAGUCUUGUUAAAUUAUGAAAGACAAGCAAGAUGAGAUUGAAAUUUGUAAGACUUGUCUAAUUAUUUAAGACAAGAGAUUUUGAUUGCAAUCUGUAAGACUUGUUAAAUUAUGAAAGACAAGCAAGAUGAGAUUGAAAUCUGUAAGACUUGUCUAAUUAUUUAAGACAAGCAAGAUUUUGAUUGAAAUCUGUAAGACUUGUCUAACUAUGUUCAAAGAUUGGAUAAUUGAAUCUAAUCGAUAUAUUGCUGGCUGGGCAGCAUAACUUCAAGUUUCUGCAUAGAACUGCUUUCAUUAAGGCUUUUCUAAUGAUGUCCUAAGAAGGAUAAAUUCAAUGAUCUGCUUAUUGAUGGGGAUAAAACUCAAUGAUCUGCUUAUUUGAUCGAGAUAAAUUCAAUGAUCUGCUUAUUUGAUGGAGAUAAAUUCAAUGAUCUGCUUAUCGAUUUGGAUAAAUUCAAUGAUCUGCUUAUUUGAUGGGGAUAAAACUCAAUGAUCUGCUUAUUUGAUGGGGAUAAAACUCAAUGAUCUGCUUAUUUAUGGGGAUAAAACUCAAUGAUCUGCUUAUUUGAUGGAGAUAAAUUCAAUGAUCUGCUUAUUUAUGGGGAUAAAACUCAAUGAUCUGCUUAUUUGAUGGAGAUAAAUUCAAUGAUCUGCUUAUUGAUUUGGAUAAAACUCAAUGAUCUGCUUAUUUGAUGGAGAUAAAUUCAAUGAUCUGCUUAUUUAUGGGGAUAAAACUCAAUGAUCUGCUUUAAAACUCAAUGAUCUGCUUAUUGACGGAGAUAAAUUCGAUGAUCUGCUUAUUGACGGGGAUAAAUUCAAUGAUCUGCUUAUUGACGGAGAUAAAACUCAAUGAUCUGCUUAUUGAUGGAGAUAAACUCAAUGAUCUGCUAUGACGGGGAUAAAUUCAAUGAUCUUCUUAUUGACAGAGAUAAAACUCAAUGAUCUGCUUAUUAAUGGAGAUAAAUUGUCUUUUAUAAGACUUGUCUAAUGAAUUCAGAUUGGGGAAUUCAGUUGUAUGGAUGAAAAAGCAUAAAAACAUGUAGUUAAUCCUUUCUGCCUAGCUCUUGAAGCUAUUCCUGUUAGCGAAGGCACAUCAUUGUGCAACGCUUUAUGGGUCAGGCUCGAGCAAGGCACUAAAGACAAAGAGAGAGAGAUGACGCACUAAAGGCAAAUCAAUAUACAUCUUACUGAGAAAUGAUAUUCAUUGGGACAUCAAGUUCUAAUUUUCAAUAUUCUGCAUAAAAAAAAUCUUAACUUGCAGACUGUAUCUUUCCCUCUUUUAAUCAGGUAAGUGUCUCUUUCGUCUUUUAAAACAAUGUAUAAUCUUCAUAAUAUUUUUCCUUGAUGGAUUUUGUAGUUCGUUAAUUGAUUACAUCUUUUGAUCACGUAGUCUUUUAUAACUAUUUGACUAUGAGUGAUUAUUUAUCUAUUUUUUUUAGCUUCAGAAGACCAAGAACUGGAGUGUGUAUACGUGAUCGUUCUCAGGUUCAACUUCUCUCCCUCGGUUUGAAAUAUUAUAGUUUGAAUACUUAUAGUAGUAGCAUUUUGGUAAACUCUGGUGCACAAGAAGAUUAGAUGAAUGAACAGCAACUUUUGGAGUGUCUCCAAAAGAAAGCUUUGGUUUCUCAGGAACUAAAGGGUUAUUAUCUCUCCAAGUCCACGCGAUUCUAAACAUUUGACUUUGCCAUCCACGCGAUUCUUCAAUGAUUUCUUUUUGUCUUACUAUACUCAUUUAUGGUUUAUAUCAAACUUGCAGGAACUAAAGGGUUAUUAUCUCUCCAAGUCCACGCGAUUCUAAACAUUUGACUUUGCCAUCCAUUUGUGGUCUAAAACCUCAUUCUCUUCUUUGAAACCAAAGAGGGCAUGAUUGGAGCUUUUGUGGCGUGCGUCGUCUUCAACACUCUUAUUUCCAAGUGGAUUAAUGUUUCCUUUAGAAAACCAAACCUCAAUUAAAGCACCCACAUCUUUAGAGCACACUGAUACAAAUAAUCGCAUAACACGAACACAUACACACAAAAGUAACUUUUGUGCUCACACUAAUACAAACAUAAAUGCAUUACACGGACACAUACUCUAAACGUAAACAUAACUUUUGUGCUCACACAUGAACUUACUAACUUAUUUUAAUGCAACACAAUUGGAAAUACAAUUGUUUAUGUUGUAUGAUGAACGAGUGCUAAACAGAAGUUUAUGAAAUUACUUACUAACCCUCUGUUUAUAUAAGAGGCUUAUGUACAGUUUUUCAUUAGUCUGAAAAGUCUCGGUACGACUUCAUUUUUCAAUUUGUGACAUGGAAUCAGAGCCGUGAAAAAGCCUCUCUUUCAUUCACACAUUUUCUCUUUGAUUCCUUGGAACUUUUCCAAGAAUCACUCUCUAUUCUAUAAUCAUAUAUAGGAUUAGAGGUAAGCUUGGCCAUUUGGUUACUCGGAUCGGUUCCAUUCAGAUUCAUUUCUUCGGUUCUUGAGAUUUCGGUCUCAUUCGCGUAAUUUUUUGGUUCGGUUUUGGUUCCGGUCCUUUCGGGUCCGGGUUGGUUACUUUUUACUCGAAAUUAUUCAAAAGUAACCUUAAACCCGAAAUUACCUGAAAUACUUAAAACAAAUUGUAACUGUAUCAACCAAAUAUACCCAAAUUACCUUGAAAUUAGUCAUGGCAUAAUCCGUUUAAACCGAACCCAAUAAACCGACGAUUUUGACUUUCGGUUUGAAAUUGAUUAUUGUUGUAAACCGAUCGGCAGAAUUUUAAAUUGAUUUUGGUUUUUGAGUUUUUCGGUUCGGUUCAUCAAAACCGAUUAGUAUUUCAGUUAAAGGAGACACCUUAUAUUAACAGAAAACCCUAGCUAGAUCUAUCACUUCAUAUGUUUGUUUUCUAAUCUCUCCUUCUCACGAACCCUUCUUUUCUCCUCUUCGACAAACCCUCUUUAUCUUUGACCUUCUAAUCCUUCUUGUUGGUGUCGGAUCUCAGUAUUCGCCCAGCCCGGAGGGAAAAUGGUUUAUCGUAAAUGGGCCGCAAGAUCCUAAAUGGGCUGAGAAUUGUAAGCAAACUGUAAGAAAUGGCUGAGAUGUCAUAGCCGUUAUCGAAGUUGAAGGGCAUUCCCCAAUGCGUGUAACAGACAAAUCUUCCUAGCCAUAAUGAAGAGACGUUGAUUGCGGAGCAUUUAAUAGUCCGUUAUGCGGAUUGUAAGUAACGUCUAGGCACUAUUCGCGGCGGGAAAAUGGCUGCAUUAAUGAAAUAUAGUCUAGGGUUCGCAUAAAAAUAGUAAGGUGGACGAAAAAAUCUUGUAAAAAAACUCUUAUCACGAUUAAUACUAUACACUUUUCAACUCUCGA